rnacentral:rRNA from 1 species
CCUACGGGGGGCUGCAGCUAAGAAUCUUCCGCAAUGGACGCAAGUCUGACGGAGCGACGCCGCGUGAACGAUGAAGGCCGUGAGGUUGUAAAGUUCUUUUCUGGGGGAGGAAUAAUGAUAGCAGGGAAUGGCUGUCAGAUGACGUUAACCCAGGAAUAAGCCCCGGCUAACUACGUGCCAGCAGCCGCGGUAACACGUAGGGGGCGAGCGUUGUUCGGAAUUAUUGGGCGUAAAGGGUGCGCAGGCUGCAUAGCUAGUCUGAUGUAAAAUGCCUCGGCUUAACCGAGGUCUGCCAUUGGAAACUGUUAUGCUAGAGUACAGGAGGGGGAGUUGGAAUUCCAGGUGUAGGGGUGAAAUCUGUAGAUAUCUGGAGGAACAUCGGUGGCGAAGGCGAACUUCUGGCCAUGUACUGACGCUGAGGCACGAAGGCGUGGGGAGCAAACAGGCUUAGAUACCCCGGUAGUC